rnacentral:piRNA from 1 species
UGCAGUGUUGACUGUCCUGGGAUGCUGUGA